rnacentral:rRNA from 1 species
GAGCGAAAGCGUGGGGAGCGAACAGGCUUAGAUACCCUGGUAGUCCACGCUGUAAACGGUGGGUACUAGGUGUGGGGUCCAUUCCACGGGUUCCGCGCCGUAGCUAACGCUUUAAGUACCCCGCCUGGGGAGUACGGCCGCAAGGCUAAAACUCAAAGGAAUUGACGGGGCCCCGCACAAGCGGCGGAGCAUGCGGAUUAAUUCGAUGCAACGCGUAGAACCUUACCUGGGUUUGACAUGGAUCGGGAGUGCUCAGAGAUGGGUGUGCCUCUUUUGGGGUCGGUUCACAGGUGGUGCAUGGCUGUCGUCAGCUCGUGUCGUGAGAUGUUGGGUUAAGUCCCGCAACGAGCGCAACCCUUGUUCACUGUUGCCAGCACGUUAUGGUGGGGACUCAGUGGAGACCGCCGGGGUCAACUCGGAGGAAGGUGGGGAUGACGUCAAGUCAUCAUGCCCCUUAUGUCCAGGGCUUCACGCAUGCUACAAUGGCUGGUACAGAGAGUGGCGAGCCUGUGAGGGUGAGCGAAUCUCGGAAAGCCGGUCUCAGUUCGGAUUGGGGUCUGCAACUCGACCUCAUGAAGUCGGAGUCGCUAGUAAUCGCAGAUCAGCAACGCUGCGGUGAAUACGUUCCCGGGCCUUGUACACACCGCCC